UACGUAGGGUGCAAGCGUUAAUCGGAAUUACUGGGCGUAAAGCGUGCGCAGGCGGUUAUGUAAGACAGAUGUGAAAUGCCCGGGCUUAACAUGGGAACUGCAUUUGUGACUGCAUGGCUAGAGUUUGGCAGAGGGGGGUAGAAUUCCACGUGUAGCAGUGAAAUGCGUAGAGAUGUGGAGGAACACCGAUGGCUAAGGCAGCCCCCUGGGUCAAGACUGACGCUCAUGCACGAAAGCGUGGGGAGCAAACAGG
rnacentral:rRNA from 1 species